rnacentral:misc_RNA from 1 species
GAUGAAGAACGUAGCGAAAUGCGAUAAGUAAUGUGAAUUGCAGAAUUCAGUGAAUCAUCGAAUCUUUGAACGCACAUUGCGCCCCCUGGUAUUCCGGGGGGCAUGCCUGUCCGAGCGUCAUUACAACCCUCAAGCUCAGCUUGGUGUUGGGCCCCGCCGCCCCGGCGGGCCCUAAAGUCAGUGGCGGUGCCGUCCGGCUCCGAGCGUAGUAAUUCUUCUCGCUCUGGAGGUCCGGUCGUGUGCUCGCCAGCAACCCCCAAUUUUUUUCAGGUUGACCUCGGAUCAGGUAGGGAUACCCGCUGAACUUAGGCAUAUCAAUAAGCGGAGGA